rnacentral:rRNA from 1 species
UCGAACGAUGAUGCCCAGCUUGCUGGGUUGAUUAGUGGCGAACGGGUGAGUAACACGUGAGUAACCUGCCCCUGACUCUGGGAUAAGCGUUGGAAACGACGUCUAAUACUGGAUAUGAUCGCCGGCCGCAUGGUCUGGUGGUGGAAAGAUUUUUUGGUUGGGGAUGGACUCGCGGCCUAUCAGCUUGUUGGUGAGGUAAUGGCUCACCAAGGCGACGACGGGUAGCCGGCCUGAGAGGGUGACCGGCCACACUGGGACUGAGACACGGCCCAGACUCCUACGGGAGGCAGCAGUGGGGAAUAUUGCACAAUGGGCGAAAGCCUGAUGCAGCAACGCCGCGUGAGGGAUGACGGCCUUCGGGUUGUAAACCUCUUUUAGUAGGGAAGAAGCGAAAGUGACGGUACCUGCAGAAAAAGCACCGGCUAACUACGUGCCAGCAGCCGCGGUAAUACGUAGGGUGCAAGCGUUGUCCGGAAUUAUUGGGCGUAAAGAGCUCGUAGGCGGUUUGUCGCGUCUGCUGUGAAAUCCCGAGGCUCAACCUCGGGCUUGCAGUGGGUACGGGCAGACUAGAGUGCGGUAGGGGAGAUUGGAAUUCCUGGUGUAGCGGUGGAAUGCGCAGAUAUCAGGAGGAACACCGAUGGCGAAGGCAGAUCUCUGGGCCGUAACUGACGCUGAGGAGCGAAAGCAUGGGGAGCGAACAGGAUUAGAUACCCUGGUAGUCCNUGCCNUAAACGUUGGGCGCUAGAUGUAGGGACCNUUUCCACGGUUUCUGUGUCGUAGCUAACGNAUUAAG